rnacentral:rRNA from 1 species
UACAGAGGGGGCAAGCGUUGUUCGGAAUUACUGGGCGUAAAGGGCGCGUAGGCGGCCUUCUAAGUCGAACGUGAAAUCCCUGGGCUCAACCCAGGAACUGCGUCCGAUACUGGAAGGCUUGAAUCCGGGAGAGGGAUGCGGAACUCCAGGUGUAGCGGUGAAAUGCGUAGAUAUCGAGAGGAACACCAGUGGCGAAGGCGAGUCUCUGGACAAUUCCUGACGCUGAGGCACGAAAGCUAGGGGAGCAAACAGG